CGCCUUUUGUAGAAAUAGAAGGUCUGACCUGCCCACUGAAAAAUUUAAAGGGCCGCGGUAUUUUGACCGUGCAAAGGUAGCAUAAUCAUUAGUCUUCUAAUUAAAGGCUGGAAUGAAUGGUUGGACGAGGUACUAGCUGUCUCACUGAAAUAAUUUUGAAUUUAGCUUUUUAGUCAAAAGGCUGAAAUGUAAUUGGAGGACGAGAAGACCCUAUAGAGCUUUACGUUUAAUUUUUUUAAUUUGUUUGGUAAGAUCCCAAUUUUAAGAAGCCAACGUUUCGUUGGGGUGACGGGAAGAUAUAACAAACUCUUUUUAAUAUUUAACAUUGAUGAAUGAAUGAUUGAUCCAUUAAUGAUGAUUAUAAGACUAAGUUACCUUAGGGAUAACAGCGUAAUCUUUUUUGAGAGUUCUAAUCGACAAGAAGGGUUGCGACCUCGAUGUUGGACUAAGGGUUAUUUUUGGGUGUAGCAGCUCAAAGUUUAGGUCUGUUCGACCUUUGAAUCCUUACAU
rnacentral:rRNA from 1 species